CCGCAGGUGGCAUAAACAGUUAAGCACUUGGCUGCUAACCAAGAGGUUGGAGGUUCAAGUCUACCCAGCAGC
rnacentral:tRNA from 1 species